rnacentral:rRNA from 1 species
UACGGAGGGUGCGAGCGUUAUCCGGAAUCACUGGGUUUAAAGGGUGCGUAGGCGGCUUGGUAAGUCCGUUGUGAAAGCGUCGUGCUUAACUAGGGAGUUGCGAGUGAUACUGUCGGGCUUGAAUCGGGAUGAGGCAGGCGGAAUGUGGCAUGUAGCGGUGAAAUGCAUAGAUAUGCCAUAGAACACCGAUUGCGAAGGCAGCCUGCUGGGCUUGUAUUGACCCUGAGGCACGAAAGCGUGGGGAGCAAACAGG